CAGCUUUGGGUGCUGACGGUGGGGGUUAAG
rnacentral:piRNA from 1 species